UCUGAGUGCUAGUCUGUGUUUGUCUUGAUUAGCUUAGCCUGCUAGUGCUGCAGGAGGGUGAAGGGAUUUUAUUCGUUUCGUUUUGGCGUAAAAUGAACGUUUUUGAACAUUUCCUCUGGAUGUGCUGGUGAGUUUAAGGCCUCAUCUUUUGUUUGAAACAUCAGAACCAAAACAUGACCGACUGUGGAGACAUUUGUCCUCAUUUGGACUCCAUAGGUGAAGUGACCAAGGAGGACCUUCUGCAAAAAUCAAAGGGCACUUGUCAAUCAUGUGGGGUAGGCGGACCCAACCUCUGGGCAUGUCUUCAGUGUGACUGUCCCUAUGUGGGCUGCGGAGAGUCAUACUCGGACCACAGCACUACACAUGCGCAGGCGAAGAAACACAAUCUGACCGUGAACCUGACCACGUUCAGGGUGUGGUGUUACGUAUGUGAGAGAGAGGUGUUUCUGGAACAGAGACCUGUAAGUCCAGUGGCAGCAACUCAGCGCUACAAACCUCUGGAACAGGAUUCCCCUCCCCAGAAUGCAUGCCACCCGUUAAAGGCAGUACCGAUCGCUGUGGCGGAUGAUGAAGGUUCAGAGUCUGAGGAAGAUGAGUUUAAGCCCAGAGGCCUCACAGGGAUGAAGAACAUUGGAAAUUCAUGUUACAUGAAUGCAGCAUUGCAGGCCCUCUCAAACUGUCCUCCUUUGACUCAGUUCUUCUUGGACUGCAGUGGGCUGGUGCGUACAGAUAAGAAACCUGCACUUUGCAAAAGCUAUCAGAAACUCAUCUCUGAGCUCUGGCAUAAAAAAAGACCCAGUUAUGUGGUUCCCACUAGUUUGUUUCAUGGAAUCAAACUGGUGAAUCCUAUGUUUCGAGGCUACGCCCAACAGGACACUCAGGAGUUCCUGCGCUGUCUGAUGGAUCAGCUACAUGAGGAACUGAAGGAGCCUUUCAUUGACUGCAGCAACUCCAUCACCGAUAAUGAGUCUGAGAGCAGCCACGACAACCAAACCCAUGUUGACGGAGACCGUAGUCCCUCUGAGGACGAUUUCCUGUCAUGUGACUCAGCUUCAGGGAGCGAGAGAGGCGAUGGAGAUAGAGCAGGAGGUGAGACGGAGCUUCUUAUUCAGGAUGAGUGCACAGGAGCGAGGGAGAGCAGUGGGAUCUCUGAGAAAGAGAAGCUGAAGGAGAGACGGAGGGAGGACCGGGGAGAGGAGAGAACGCCGGAGAUGGAUGAGGACGCCGAUGUGGACACGGCAGUGCAGGAGGAGCAGCACGAAAGAGUCGGAGGGCAGAUGGGGACUGGCAGAGCUCAGGGAAGUACAGAACCAGACAAUGAGGUGUCCAUGCAUCGCUCGUCCUCUCGCCCCUGUAGCCCCACUCACGGCGUGCAGGAAUUUCAUUCAAAACUGUCCAGCAGCCCACCCAGGUCCAGCCCUCUCCGAGCCAGCCCCGCCUAUGCCUUCAAGAAAGCUCAGAUGCUCCUGGGCACCAAGAAGAAGAAACAGUCCCGGUUCCGUAGCAUUAUUUCCGACGUCUUUGAUGGGUCCAUUCUGAGCCUGGUCCAGUGUUUGACGUGUGACCGGGUGUCAACAACAGUUGAGACCUUUCAGGAUUUGUCUCUGCCAAUUCCGGGUAAAGAAGACCUGGCUAAACUCCACUCCUCCAUCCACCAGAGCACUCCAGCCAAGAUGGGCGUGUGCACGGACACCUACGCUGCCCAAGGCUGGCUCUCCUACAUUAUGGAGUCAAUACGCAGGUUUGUAGUGUCCUGUAUCCCCAGCUGGUUUUGGGGUCCCAUGGUGACACUGGAGGACUGCCUUGCUGCCUUCUUUGCUGCAGAUGAACUGAAAGGAGAUAACAUGUAUAGCUGUGAACGAUGUAAAAAAUUGAGAAAUGGUGUGAAAUAUUGUAAAGUCCUCCAGCUCCCAGAGAUUUUGUGCAUUCACUUGAAGCGUUUCCGACACGAGGUGAUGUACUCCUUUAAGAUCAGCAGCCAUGUGUCUUUCCCGCUGGAGGGUUUGGACCUGCAGCCUUUCUUGGCCAAAGACAGCCCUUCUCAGAUUACUACUUAUGAUCUCCUUUCUGUCAUCUGCCACCAUGGCACAGCCGGAAGUGGCCACUACAUAGCAUAUUGUCAGAAUGUUAUCAAUGGCCAGUGGUACGAGUUUGAUGAUCAGUAUGUAACGGAGGUCCAUGAGACGGUUGUGCAGAAUGCAGAGGCCUACGUCCUCUUUUACAGGAAGAGCAGUGAGGAAUCAGUAAGAGAACGGCAGAAAGUCAUAGCUCUGGCUAAUCUGAAGGAGCCCAGUCUUUUACAGUUCUACAUUUCCAGAGAAUGGCUCAACAAGUUCAACACAUUUACCGAACCUGGACCCAUCACUAAUCAUACCUUCUUGUGUCACCAUGGAGGAAUCCCUCCUACCAAAUAUCACUAUGUGGAUGAUCUGGUGGUGAUUCUGCCUCAGAAUGUGUGGGAAUACCUUUACAACAGGUUUGGCGGCGGUCCAGCUGUAAAUCACUUGUAUGUGUGCACUAUCUGCCAAGUGGAGAUUGAGGCCUUAGCCAAACGUAGGAAAACUGAAAUUGACACCUUCAUCAAGCUCAAUAAGGAGUUCCAGGCUGAGGAAGCUCCAACAGUCAUUUUGUGCAUUAGCAUGCAAUGGUUCAGGGAGUGGGAGAACUUCGUCAAGGGUAAAGACAAUGAGCCUCCAGGCCCAAUUGACAACAGCAAGAUUGCAGUGAUGAAGGGGGGACAUGCACAGUUAAAACACGGGGCUGACUAUGGGCAAAUCUCUGAGGAGACAUGGCAGUACUUGUUGGGAAUUUAUGGUGGUGGUCCUGAGAUUGCAGUGAGGCAGAACAUCAGUUCUCCUGAAUCAGACACACAUGGAGAGAGGAAGAUCGAGGCAGAAACUAGAGCACUCUGAGCGAGUAGCAUCCUGAAUGUGGCUGAACUUUAUUUGCACCAUGUUUACACCUGCUUUCCUGUAAGCACUUUGUAAGCGCUGCCUAAUGCCGUGGGCUGUUACCUCUGUAGGACCUGGAUGUCUAGUAACACAGGGUUGGUAUACUAGAAGGUCUACAUUUCUGGACAGUGUCAGAGCUAAAGUGAAGUGCAUGGCUACCCCAGGGGAUAUGUAUAGGAGACGAUGCUAGUCUUGAUGGCACCCUGAAUCGCCAUUCUACUAGCAGGCAGAUGAAGAAAAGCACUUGGAGACAGAGCAGGAGACGAGAAAGCAGCACUGCAGACGAGCUGUUCAGCAUCAGGAUACAGGAUCAUCUUCCUUAAGAGGCAGGGACAGAAACACGAGCGUCCAUCAGCCUCCCUGAAACAUGUUCAAGCAGCAGGCACUCAAACAGGUCCGAAACACACCAAGGAUUACGGAACAAAGCAGGACAUUCCUAACGUCUCAGAUGGCUAUCAGGAUACCCAUUCCCAUGUGUUAAAGCUGAACUGGAAGGUUUGUGUUAUGACCUUUUGACCUGCCUUCUUCAGACACGCCUGCACGAGAGUCUCAUGGUGAGACGCCACUGAAACGCAUGCAACAGCAGCGUCCCUCAUCCUUCUCUUCAGUCUUUCUCACUGUCUUUUGUCUUGUUCGCCACGUUACUAUCGUCAUUCCCUUUAGGCAAGGGUUUGCCAGGAAGCUGAACUAAACACAUACUUGCACAUUCUGCCUUUCUAUGACACACACUGAGAAAGUCUGAGGAUCAUUCCGUGACUCUGUUAUGAGCCGCCAUACGUCUAAACACGUUAGACUGCUGGAAGUGUCGGGAGAUAAGUGCAAUUUGUUGUGAACUGAUGUGUCUGACAUUAUUAUUGGAUGACUUAUAGUUGUAAGACUGUAAAUGUGACAUGUAUUUCAUAGUUAGUAGAUAACGUGAGCUAAGUAAUUCCUAUCAUGCAGAAACUUAAAAUACAAAGACCUGUAUGUGUGCGUGUGAAAGUCAGUACUCUGGUAGCCUCUGUGUGUGUGUGUCAUUAGCCUAUAGGCAUAGACUGUGGGUGUGUUUGUAGGAUGUACAGUAGUUAACUGAUUGUAAGGAAAUCUGCUGUGUGUGUGUGUUAUAUAGGUGAUGAAGAGAUGAGAUCAACACCACAUUGUGCAUAACCUUGGGUGUGAUUUAUUGGGAUUAACCAUUGAAAGCAUAAUGCGAUAAUGGGCUGUGCAAUAUGCACGCAGUUAAUUGACAUGUGCAGCGCGUCAGCUUCACAAGCUGGACCGAGAGCCAUGGAAAUGUCUGGCUUUCCAGAAGUCCCACAGCAGGACUACCACAGACUGUCUGGUUUACACUACACCUCUUCUUUCUCUGAUGCAGAAGACUGCUGUGACGAAACGACAAGUACAAGCUCUUCCUCAGAUUACUUUGGCAUGGACGAUUGACGGAAUAUUUCUGCUUGUUUUUCGCUAAUGUUCUCAAGCCUUUGUUAAGCCUUUAUUUAACCUAGGGGAAGUGCACUGAAGAGCAUGGUGUCUGGGCACCUGGUUUUAAAUCUCCUUCCCUUUGUGCCAUGAAUAAUAUUUGAAGAUCUUGGUCCAUGUCUCUCACUAUGCACUAUAUUCUAACACCUUUAGACUUUGCUUUUAAGGACAUGAAUGUUGUCCUUUUAAAUUGCACUACAAGUAAAUGUCAUGACUGCUCAGUACCUCACUGAACAACACCAGAACAGCCCCACACAAGAACAAGCCUAAGUUUUAAAAUCUGAAAGAACUUCCCUAAAUAUUUUGUUACCAAUUUGAAUCUAUGGCUGUCCCUGCUGACUCCGCCCAUUUCUGUUACAUAGAUCUGGCUACGACCAACAAGUGCAGAAAACAUCCAGCAUUACACACAUCAUUUUUCAUUUCUUAACCAUAUUAUAUGGGUAUUAAUAGCGUAGCACAUCUCCCAGCAUGAACACACACAAUUUGAGGGUGAAUUAUUGAGUUAAUUUUUUUUUAAAAGAUAUUUUUUUGGGCUUUUUUCACCUUUAUUGGAUAGGACAGCGUAGAGGCGGGAAAUGACCUCGGGUCAGAAUCGAACCCGGGUCCCCAGAUUUAUGGUAUGGCGCCUUAUCCACCUGAGCCACAAUGCCCCCAAGUUAAUUUUAAGUAAAAAAAAAAAAAAAUUUUUAACAAAACAUCAGCAACCAAAAUAUGAUCAACAUCUUAAAAUAGGGGCGGCAUGGUGGUGUAGUGGUUAGCGCUGUCGCCUCACAGCAAGAAGGUCCUGGGUUCGAGCCCUGGGGCCGGCGAGGGCCUUUCUGUGCGGAGUUUGCAUGUUCUCCCCGUGUCCGCGUGGGUU